GGUCGUUUAGCUCAGUGGUAAGAGCGUGUGCUUUACACGCACAAGGUCGCAGGUUCGACCCCUGCAACGAUCA